rnacentral:rRNA from 1 species
AUUGAACGCUGGCGGCAGGCUUAACACAUGCAAGUCGAGCGGAGAUGAGGUGCUUGCACCUUAUCUUAGCGGCGGACGGGUGAGUAAUGCUUAGGAAUCUGCCUAUUAGUGGGGGACAACAUUCCGAAAGGAAUGCUAAUACCGCAUACGUCCUACGGGAGAAAGCAGGGGAUCUUCGGACCUUGCCCUAAUAGAUGAGCCUAAGUCGGAUUAGCUAGUUGGUAGGGUAAAGGCCUACCAAGGCGACGAUCUGUAGCGGGUCUGAGAGGAUGAUCCGCCACACUGGGACUGCGGCACGGCCCAGGCUCAUACGGGAGGCAGCAGUGGGGAAUAUUGGACAAUGGGGGGAACCCUGAUCAAGACAUGCCGCGUGUGUGAAGAAGGCCUUAUGGUUGUAAAGCACUUUAAGCGAGGAGGAGGCUACUGAGACUAAUACUCUUGGAUAGUGGACGUUACUCGCAGAAUAAGCACCGGCUAACUCUGUGCCAGCCGCCGCUGUAACAC